rnacentral:rRNA from 1 species
GACGAACGCUGGCGGCGUGCUUAACACAUGCAAGUCGAGCGGUAAGGCCCUUCGGGGUACACGAGCGGCGAACGGGUGAGUAACACGUGGGUGACCUGCCCUCCACUUCGGGAUAAGCCUGGGAAACCGGGUCUAAUACCGGAUAUGACUUCCUCACGCAUGUGGGGUGGUUGAAAGUUGUGUCGGUGGGGGAUGGGCCCGCGGUCUAUCAGCUUGUUGGUGGGGUGAUGGCCUACCAAGGCGACGACGGAUAGCCGGCCU